rnacentral:rRNA from 1 species
GGUUAAGCGACUAAGCGUACACGGUGGAUGCCCUGGCAGUCAGAGGCGAUGAAGGGCGUGCUAAUCUGCGAUAAGCGCCGGUAAGGUGAUAUGAACCGUUAUAACCGGCGAUACCCGAAUGGGGAAACCCAGUGUGACUCGUCACACUAUCAUUAACUGAAUCCAUAGGUUAAUGAGGCGAACCGGGGGAACUGAAACAUCUAAGUACCCCGAGGAAAAGAAAUCAACCGAGAUUCCCCCAGUAGCGGCGAGCGAACGGGGAGGAGCCCAGAGCCUGAAUCAGCAUGUGUGUUAGUGGAAGCGUCUGGAAAGGCGCGCGAUACAGGGUGACAGCCCCGUACACAAAAGCGCAUGUGCUGUGAGCUCGAUGAGUAGGGCGGGACACGUGGUAUCCUGUCUGAAUAUGGGGGGACCAUCCUCCAAGGCUAAAUACUCCUGACUGACCGAUAGUGAACCAGUACCGUGAGGGAAAGGCGAAAAGAACCCCGGCGAGGGGAGUGAAAAAGAACCUGAAACCGUGUACGUACAAGCAGUGGGAGCACAGGUUUACCUGUGUGACUGCGUACCUUUUGUAUAAUGGGUCAGCGACUUAUAUUCUGUAGCAAGGUUAACCGCAUAGGGGAGCCGGAGGGAAACCGAGUCUUAAUUGGGCGUUAAGUUGCAGGGUAUAGACCCGAAACCCGGUGAUCUAGCCAUGGGCAGGUUGAAGGUUGGGUAACACUAACUGGAGGACCGAACCGACUAAUGUUGAAAAAUUAGCGGAUGACCUGUGGCUGGGGGUGAAAGGCCAAUCAAACCGGGAGAUAGCUGGUUCUCCCCGAAAGCUAUUUAGGUAGCGCCUCGUGAAUUCAUCUCCGGGGGUAGAGCACUGUUUCGGCUAGGGGGCCAUCCCGGCUUACCAACCCGAUGCAAACUGCGAAUACCGGAGAAUGUUAUCACGGGAGACACACGGCGGGUGCUAACGUCCGUCGUGAAGAGGGAAACAACCCAGACCGCCAGCUAAGGUCCCAAAGUCAUGGUUAAGUGGGAAACGAUGUGGGAAGGCCCAGACAGCCAGGAUGUUGGCUUAGAAGCAGCCAUCAUUUAAAGAAAGCGUAAUAGCUCACUGGUCGAGUCGGCCUGCGCGGAAGAUGUAACGGGGCUAAACCAU